AUUCCCUGUCUGAACUCACUUUUUUUCCCUCAGUUGAUGCUUAAAAUUAUUUUCCAAGUUGGAUAAAAAUGCAAUUUUAAUUUCAUUUGCACCAAAUUUAAUAGAUUAAUUAGGAGAGAAUAGAUCUCUUUAAAAUUGAGUCUUCCUAUCCAACUGCAAGUUUUAACUGAGGUGUUACCAGUUUAAGAAGUGAGACCUUUUAGAUGCUUCAGUACCUGACAUUUCUAUAUCAAUCCAAAUUCUUAUACUUGUUUAUCCUUUCUGUGGACUUCAUUCUUCAAAAGUGCUGCAUCUUUCAUAAGCAAGAACCAAAGAGAUUUUGACUGCAGGUGGCGAACAUGUGAACAAGAGGAUCAUAGAUACCUUCUGCAGUGGUUCCAACCACAGCAUCAUCCAGAUGCUGUCAUUAUUUCCCCCUUCUGGAAGCUUUUACGUCUUUGUAUCUCAAAGGGCACAACUUUUACAUAUGUAUCCCUAUGAAUAGAAGUGGCCUGCUUGUGGCAAGUAAUUGCCUGAAAUGUCGUUAAGUACUUCUCUGUGCUCUGAAUAUAUCUUGUGCUUUCCUCUAUUGUAUUCACCUCAUGGCAUUUUUUAUCCAUGUUUUACUUUACAAAUGAGAGUGAGAUUUGUAUGUGGUAAAUUUGAUUAAUACAACCUCAUGGAUACCUUGAUCAUGCCCCAGAUAACAGCCAGGCUUUCUCACAAGCUGAGUGCCUCCCAUGUCCAGUUUUGGUUCCUUUUGUAUGAUACUUUGUUCCUCAUUUGAAUCAUGAGCCCACAGUUUUUAGAGAGGUCCCAAACACGAUCCUCUUAAAAUAUUUGCAUUACCUGCAAUAGACCAUCUGCAGUUUCCGUUUUUAUUGAACAUAUUAGGUCUCACUUGAGAACAGGAUCUGAGUCUGAAUGUAGUUGACCUCUUCCCCGAUGCCUGAACAUAAGACUUGGAUGUCAUCACAACUCUGAUUGUGUAAGGGAGAACCGUACCCUUGCACUGACAUUUUGAGCCACGGUGAUGCCAUCUUGUAGAACACCUGAUUCCAUCACUUUGUUGGUAUUGCUGUAAUUUUCUUCGUUGGGAUUGGAGUAAAAAACUCAAGGUCAAAGGCUAGAACAAGUUAUCAUACUUCACAGAGGAGAGAGCAAUACAAGGUCGUAUGCCUUUUGUGCUAUAUAUAUGAGAGUUUCAUUACUCAGAUACUAAACAAAAUGUCUACUGUGUAUUUGCUGUUCUUUAUUCAUAAUGCAGUAGAUAAUCCUGAAGAAAAUAAGCCUGGCGAUGUAAAUGCUUAUUUGUUGGGAGGGUGCUUGUCUGGAUCAAUGAUGAGCACAAUUGUCUGAGGAUGCUGAGGGACUCAUUCCAGAUGUCAAUCUGAGGUCCAGAUGAGUGGCCCUCUAAUAGGACAAAUAAGACUCUCAGAGCCUGGCUGUAUUUGGUAACCCCUCAGUGACAACAUAAUUCUUUUUUUGGAGCAAGCCAUUAGCAUGCUAUCUUUUGAGUCAGUAUGCAAAUCUAGAUAUGCUCAGUGACCCAAGACUUGCUUCAUUUUGCUCACUUUGAACAGAGAAUUGUAGAUAGUUACUUGUAUGUAGGAAAUAGGUUCUUGAGUAAUGAAUAAGGAAACAAAAGAAAGAUUGAAUUAGGAAGAGGUCAGACAACUGUGAUGGGUAUUGAAAUCCUCAUUAGUGUUGGGCUAAAAGAAGGGAACACUGAAUGCCUAUACUAAAUAUUGAUGACGGAAUCAAUUUUAGUGCUUUAUUAUUUUUACUGUUGAGUAUUUUGAGACUGUAUCUUUGCUUUUCUUUCUGCCAUGUUUUUCUGAGGCAGAAGGGCUGGAAUGAGGUCCUCCACUUCAGAGAAUAGGGAACCUAUUAAGGUCAUUCAAAUAAGCUCAAUAACAAUCAAUAAAAUAUUCCUGAACACUAAUAAUUAUAACAUCAGGGAGGAAAAGAGCCCUACUAGAUAUUGAAAUGGACUACAGAAACUCCAUCAUUAGACAAGGUUUGAGGGUGAAUAUGAAUGUUAGGAACCCAAGAAAAUAUUUUGGUAUGAUAAAUAUGGUCCUAUAAAUACGUACUUGUAUAUUUGCCCAUGUUAAUAUAUAAGUAGAUUUGUGGUGCAUGGCUGUUGUCUCAAUGUUUGGAAGUAUAUUCACAUAAUAUUUCUGCUGUAAAUGGCAAGUAUUAAAUGUACAACCCACUGUAUUUUAAAAAGAAGUGCUUUCUCCCUAAGAUUGGGAACAAGACAAUGAUGUUCUGUCUCAUCAAUUCUAUUUAUGUUGUUCUGCAAAGUUGUAACCCAUGCAAUAGGGCAAGAAAAAGAAAUAAAAGACAUAAAGAUCAGAAAGGAAGAAACAAAGCUUUAUUUGCAGACAGCAUGAUUGCUUAUGUUAGAAAAUCCCAAAGAAUUUACAAAUAAUGCUCCUAGAACUAAAAACUAAGUAUAACAAGUUCACAAGGUGCAAGGUACAAAAGUCAAUCAUAUUACUAUAUUCCAGCAAUGAAAAAUUGGAAUUUGAAAUAAAUAUCAUUUAUAAUAGCACAAAAAAUGAGUUACUUGAGUGUAAAUCUAAUAAAAAUGUGCAGUAUAUCUGUGUUGAAAGCUGCAAAACACUGAUGAAAGUUAUCAAACAAGACCUUAUAAAUGUAGAGAUAUGCUCCAUUCAUGGAUCAGAAAUCUCAAUAUUGUUAAGUUGUCUGGUUACCUCAAUUUCAUGUGUAGAUUCAGUACAAUCCACAUAAACACCAUUGCAAGUUUCUUUGUAUAAAGCAACAAGGUGAUUCUCAAAUUAUAUUCAAGGUGAAAGAACUAGAGUAACAAAAGAGGUUCUGAAAAAGUCCUAAAAUCAGAGAACUAACACCAUCUUAUUUUAAAGCUUACUGUAAAGAUAUAGUAAACAAGAUAGUAUGUUGGUGAAUGGAUUGAAAAAUAGAUCAACGAAGAUGAUGAUAUCUGUGGAAGGUAGUCAUAGAAACAAAAUACCUGGGUGCUUUCUGGAGUACUGGUAAUGUUUGUUUCUUGAUCUGUGUGUUGAGUAAUUGCUGUGUUUAAAAGAUGAACAUUUAUUAAGCUGUACAUUUAUUAAGCUGUACAACAUUUAUUAAACUGUACAAUGCAACGCAUGCACUUUGCUGUAUCUAUCUUAUACUUCAAUAGAAAGUUAAAAAUUUCCCAUCGAACUAGUCUAAAUGUUGGUUAAUGUGUU